UCUUAUAUCUUAAAUUAACCUAUUUUUAUUAAUCUAUAAGUUGCCACAUGGCUCGUGGCUUGCUGGUACCCUACAUCUUGUUUGUCUUGGUGGCAGCUGGCAGGUCUCUCCCCUCUACUUCUCCAGCAUUCUUUCUCCUU